rnacentral:rRNA from 1 species
CACGUAGGGCGCAAGCGUUGUCCGGAAUUAUUGGGCGUAAAGGGCGCGUAGGUGGUUCUGUAUGUCUACCGUGAAAGCGUACGGCUCAACCGUAUUUUGUCGGUGGAAACUGCAGGACUCGAGGCUGGGAGGGGCUGGUGGAAUUCCCUGUGUAGCGGUGAAAUGCGUAGAGAUGGGGGAGAACACUCGUGGCGAAGGCGGCCAGCUAGACCAGUUCUGACACUGAGGCGCGACAGCGUGGGGAGCAAACAGG